GAGGGGCCCGCGUCCGAUUAGCUAGUUGGUGAGGUAACGGCUCACCAAGGCGACGAUCGGUAGCUGGUCUGAGAGGAUGACCAGCCACACUGGAACUGAGAUACGGUCCAGACUCCUACGGGAGGCAGCAGUUGGGAAUAUUGGACAAUGGGGGAAACCCUGAUCCAGCAAUGCCGCGUGGGUGAUGAAGGCCUUCGGGUUGUAAAGCCCUUUUGGCGGGGACGAUGAUGACGGUACCCGCAGAAUAAGCCCCGGCUAACUUCGUGCCAGCAGCCGCGGUAAUACGAAGGGGGCUAGCGUUGUUCGGAAUUACUGGGCGUAAAGGGCGCGUAGGCGGUUGUGCAAGUCAGAUGUGAAAGCCCUGGGCUCAACCCAGGAUGUGCAUUUGAUACUGCAUGACUAGAGUGUCGGAGAGGAUGGUGGAAUUCCCAGUGUAGAGGUGAAAUUCGUAGAUAUUGGGAAGAACACCGGUGGCGAAGGCGACCAUCUGGACGACAACUGACGCUGAGGCGCGAAAGCGUGGGGAGCAAACAGGAUUAGAUACCCUGGUAGUCCACGCCGUAAACUAUGCGUGUUGGACGU
rnacentral:rRNA from 1 species